UUCCAGAUUGCGCUGCUGGACGAGCUGUCCCGCUUGAAUCGGGAUUCGCUGAAAACGCAUACGGAAGUGAAGCCGUUCGAGCCCGCUUUAGCAA
rnacentral:tRNA from 1 species